rnacentral:tRNA from 1 species
AUUUAUAUAGUAUAUAAUUUAUUACAUUUAACUUCCAAUUAAAAAAAUUAAAUAAUUUAAUAUAAAUA